CCUACGGGUGGCAGCAGUGAGGAAUAUUGGUCAAUGGCCGUAAGGCUGAACCAGCCAAGUCGCGUGCAGGAUGAAGGAUCUACGGUUUGUAAACUUCUUUUAUAGGGGAAUAAAGGUACCUACGUGUGGAUAUUUGCAUGUACCCUAUGAAUAAGCAUCGGCUAACUCCGUGCCAGCAGCCGCGGUAAUACGGAGGAUGCGAGCGUUAUCCGGAUUUAUUGGGUUUAAAGGGUGCGUAGGUUGUUUUUUAAGUCAGCGGUGAAAGUUUGUGGCUCAACCAGAAAAUUGCCGUGGAAACUGGAAGACUUGAGUGUGUGUGAGGUAGGCGGAAUGCGUGGUGUAGAGGUGAAAUGCAUAGAUAUGACGAAGAACUCCGAUUGCGAAGGCAGCUUAC
rnacentral:rRNA from 1 species